rnacentral:rRNA from 1 species
GAUGAACGCUGGCGGCGUGCCUAACACAUGCAAGUCGAACGGAGAUUACGGACGGAAGUUUUCGGAUGGAAGCCUGUAAUUCUUAGUGGCGGACGGGUGAGUAACGCGUGGGCAACCUGCCCUAUACAGGGGGAUAGCAGCUGGAAACGGCUGGUAAGACCGCAUAAGUCGGUUAAAUCGCAUGAUUUGAUCGGGAAAUGAGCAAUCAGGUAUAGGAUGGGCCCGCGUCCGAUUAGCCAGUUGGCAGGGUAAAAGCCUACCAAAGCGACGAUCGGUAGCCGGACUGAGAGGUCGGACGGCCACAUUGGGACUGAGACACGGCCCAAACUCCUACGGGAGGCAGCAGUGGGGGAUAUUGCACAAUGGAGGAAACUCUGAUGCAGCGACGCCGCGUGAGUGAAGAAGUAUUUCGGUGUGUAAAGCUCUAUCAGCAGGGAAGAUGAUGACGGUACCUGACUAAGAAGCCCCGGCUAACUACGUG